ensembl:lncRNA
AGGCGCAAUGAAAGGGUCCCAGGGUGGAGGCGCAAAGCAGAAAGGAAACAGAUGGGAAGGUGGAAUGAAAAACUUUGUGCCCGGUGAAUUUGCCGCAGCUUGUGUGGCUUCUGGGGUGGUACACGCUGUGUGUGUUUUCUUUACUUCUGCACAAACAUAACCCUAGAUGGAAUCGGGGAAAAAGGCACGUUUUGGUAUCAGAGAUCCCUCUACAUGUCAGACCAUUAUUAGCAUCGCAUUCUUACUUGAAAGGAGAAUCGGAAAAGUGCUGAUGAAAUACAAAUAUUGAUGAUAGUAGAGGAUAAAAGAAGAAACAUCAGACUCAUUUUACCAGAUCAUCAAACGCCAAUGUGCUGAGAAGAGAUGCUCCAAGCAAGAGUUCCUAGAAAAACAGAGAUCACCUGAACCACUUUCUACCUUCAACCCUACAACACGCUUCUCUUUCUUUUCCUAAGCUGUGCUGAUAGUCUACAAGUUUACUCUUGUAAUUAGCUUGUAACAUGCUAA